GGCUCCUACGGGACGCAGCAGUAGGGAAUUUUCGGCAAUGGGCGAAAGCCUGACCGAGCAAUGCCGCGUGAGUGAAGAAGGCCUUCGGGUUGUAAAGCUCUGUUGUAAAGGAAGAACGGAUGGCAUAGGGAAUGAUGCCAUUGUGACGGUACUUUACGAGGAAGUCACGGCUAACUACGUGCCAGCAGCCGCGGUAAUACGUAGGUGGCGAGCGUUAUCCGGAAUGAUUGGGCGUAAAGGGUGCGUAGGCGGCCUGCUAAGUCUGGAGUGAAAGGUACCGGCUCAACCGGUACAGGCUCUGGAAA
rnacentral:rRNA from 1 species